GGAGUUAUGAAAUGUAAAUCGGUUAAUACCCGGUUUAUUUGACAAAGGCCCCAAAGGAAGCCACGGCUAACUCUGUGCCAGCAGCCGCGGUAAUACAGAGGUGGCAAGCGUUGUUCGGUAUUAUUGGGCGUAAAGAGCACGUAGGUGGUUUUGUAAGUCAGAUGUGAAAGCCUUCUGUUCAAAGGAAGAACGGCAUCUGAAACUACAGAUCUUGAGUGUAGGAGGGGAGAGUGGAACUUCUG
rnacentral:rRNA from 1 species